rnacentral:lncRNA from 1 species
AGGAGGAAGAUCCAGUACAAAAGGUAAAGAAGUUCUACUGGCUCUACCAGAACCAAUAACCAAAAAGGCAACUACAACAUCUUCUGGGUCCCCUACCCAGACUGGGUCAUCAACCUAGAAAGGAAAACUUGAAGGGUCAUUGACCCAGACAACUACCGUCAAAUCUGAGUCAUCAACUCAGGAAUCCCCAAAACCAACAACAACCAAACAGACC